AAUAAAGAGUCCCGCCUGCCCAAUGAAUUUAUAGAUAAUUCUUAUUUUAAUGGCCGCAGUAUUCUGACUGUGCUAAGGUAGCGUAAUCCAAUGUCUCUUAAUUAGAGGCCCAGUAUGAAUGGCUAGACGAGGAUAAUACUGUCUCUUUUUAUAUUAUAUAAAAAUUGUUAUUAAAGUGAAAAAACUUUAAUUUUUUCAAAAGACGAAAAGACCCUGUAGAGUUUGAAAUUGAUCUUAAUUUUUUUUGUAGAAAAUAUGAAAAUUAAUGAAAUAUUUUUUGUUGGGGCAACAAAGGAGUAUGUAAAAACUCUUUAAAUUAAAAUAAUUGAUAAAUUGAUUGAUCUGUUAUAUGAAUAAAAGAAAAAGUUACCUCAGGGAUAACAGCGUAAUUUUUCUGGAGAGUACUAAUUGAAGGAAAAGAUUGCGACCUCGAUGUUGGAUUGGAAAUACUUUUAUAGUGCAGCAGCUCAAAAAGUGGGUCUGUUCGACCUUUAAUAUUCC
rnacentral:rRNA from 1 species